rnacentral:rRNA from 1 species
ACGAACGCUGGCGGCAUGCCUAACACAUGCAAGUCGAACGAGACCUUCGGGUCUAGUGGCGCACGGGUGCGUAACGCGUGGGAAUCUGCCCCUUGGUUCGGAAUAACAGUUAGAAAUGACUGCUAAUACCGGAUGAUGACUUCGGUCCAAAGAUUUAUCGCCAAGGGAUGAGCCCGCGUAAGAUUAGGUAGUUGGUGGGGUAAAGGCCUACCAAGCCGACGAUCUUUAGCUGGUCUGAGAGGAUGAUCAGCCACACUGGGACUGAGACACGGCCCAGACUCCUACGGGAGGCAGCAGUGGGGAAUAUUGGACAAUGGGCGAAAGCCUGAUCCAGCAAUGCCGCGUGAGUGAUGAAGGCCUUAGGGUUGUAAAGCUCUUUUACCAGGGAUGAUAAUGACAGUACCUGGAGAAUAAGCUCCGGCUAACUCCGU